AUUGCAGCAGAGAGACUGGGAAGAGUAAGGAUCUCCUGGGGUUCACCUGUGGUCACUGUGAACCAUCUAACUUCAUCUUAAAACCUGACUAGUGCCUCAGAGCUGAACAAAAUUGGCUUUGCCAAGAAGCCUACAUGUCAUCUGGUCAAAGUCCAGUCAUAUUACACCUGGAAAUGUUUGACAUCUGCCUGUAUGUCUCCUAGUCAUGGCAGAAGCGUAUCAGUCUCAAAAUAAAAUCUACUAUACAUCACUGAUAAUUUGCAAAGUGCCUACAAGUGAAGCAGCAGGACAGGACUACAUAUGAGUUUCACUGUUUCACUACCUCAUUGAGGUAGACAUCAGUCCAACUGGGCCAAGUGGAUUUGAGCUUUGAACAGAAGUACUUCACAUCUCAAGAAACAGUUGACGAUUGAUUCUGCAGUGCAGCAAACUGCUUGUGAAAAUGGUUUGAAAGGAUUUUUGCUCUUGUGUGAUGAGCCGAGGAAGUUUCCAGCCACUAGAGGAAUGGUGUUUGGAAAAUUUUUCUAAGAAGAUGAGUGGACUAAAAAGUUUAUCUUUUUUUUGAGUUCUAUCCUUACACAAUAACAAUAAAAUUCAACUAUGUAGGUCACUCCAAAAAUAAUGCUUCCUAUAUUUUUGUGUGGAAACUACAAGAAAGAGUGGAAGAACACUAUUUUAUAGAGCAAGUUCUCAGCACAAAACAUGAUUUUUUCAACAUAGUUACGACCAUUAGCUAUGGUUUUUCACCAGCAAUGAACAAAACCCUGCAUACUAUACAGUUAAAAAUCUGCAGCAGUGCAAGUGACCCACUGCGUCACUGUGCUCACCUCCACUGUUUGGUUUCCAUAAACACUCAACAAGGGUCAGUAAAUGUUCAUGAGUGCCUUUUUUUUCCAUAUGGAGGAAUUAAACAACACACCUUUGCUUCAUAUAUACUUUCAUGUCAGACGCUGUUUUGUCAGACUGCCUCUCUGAUGGCACCUGUUACAUGGCAACAACAUGUGAUGGAAUACUGGUGGGAAAGUUCAAACUCUACUGCCAUGCCACCAACAUCUGCUUCUGACACCAUGAGCCAACAUAAUAAAAUAGGAAGCAUUACUUUCUGAGCAGCCCUUGUAUAUUUCAAUAAAAACACUGUUUGAAACAUACUUUAUUUUGCAUAUCUGAUUUUGAAAAGUACUGUCUAUUCUAAUCACAAAGCAUACAAUGUCACCUUAGCCAUGUUAUUUAGUAUUUGUUUUUUGUUUGUUUGUUGUUUGAAAAUAGCAACACUGCUCUGUCUAUCAUCUGUUUUCUGAUAUGCUCAGAAGCAUAUUAGAAGUCUGCGGGCUUUAAUGACUGAUUUGUAAUAGUUUUGAUAUCAAAUUUUACUAAAUAACAAUUUGAAAUGAUUUGAAAUUUUGAAAAUAUUUGAAACUUCAUAGAGCUGUGUUUUGCACAUAGCUCAGCAGAAUUCUAUGGCUGUGAUGACCUGAUUCUCCCAGGUGUUUCAUGCUGCAGGGCAUUUUGGCAGGAUGGCUGCAUUUCACAUGGUUAAUUACCAUGAGCACAAUGGUAAGAUGCUGUUCCUCUUGAUGAAUAAAAUGUGGGCUCCCCAACAGCUAUUGUAACCGUGAUAAACAGGACAUGAUGCCCCUGAUAACUGGGGUAGGCAGGAGUGCCCAACAACCAUCUGCUACCAUGCUGUGGAGAGGAUAAAAACCCAAAGAAUUCUGAGGAAGAGCGGGUAACCCCUCCACUGAACUGCAGCCAUACUGGUCAACAAGGCAUCACUGCCUCCCUACAAAUCAACAAUUGUUGGAUCCAUGGUGGUGACUAUCCCUGCUCUGUAAACUGUUUGCUAGAAUUUUUCUCUUUACUAUCACUAAUUUCCCCACUUUCCCCACACCCCUGAGUUACUUAGAACUUGUAAUAAAUCAUUGGACCU
rnacentral:lncRNA from 7 species